rnacentral:rRNA from 1 species
UACGUAGGGCGCAAGCGUUUAUCCGGAAUUAUUGGGCGUAAAGAGCUCGUAGGCGGUUUGUCGCGUCUGCUGUGAAAGACCGGGGCUCAACUCCGGUUCUGCAGUGGGUACGGGCAGACUAGAGUGUGGUAGGGGAGACUGGAAUUCCUGGUGUAGCGGUGAAAUGCGCAGAUAUCAGGAGGAACACCGAUGGCGAAGGCAGGUCUCUGGGCCGAUACUGACGCUGAGGAGCGAAAGCGUGGGGAGCGAACAGG